AUGCCGCUGCUACUCACCCUCGUCAUGGCCGUCCUCCUGGCCGGCCUCCAAGCCGCCGCCGGCGCGCCACCCUCCCAAAUAGACGCCCUCUUGGCCUUCAAGCGAUCCCUCACCAUCCCACCCGCAGCCGCCGCCUUCUUCGCCACGUGGGACGCCACCGCUGCCUCGCCCUGCAACUUCACCGGCGUCACCUGCGACUCACGCCACUCCGUCGUCAUCGGUGUGUCCGUACGGGAGCGCGGAGUCGCUGCCGCGUCCAUGCCGUUCGGCGUCAUCUGCAGCUCACUGACGAACCUCACCACGCUCUCCCUGCCGUCGAACGCGCUCGCCGGGGGCAUCGACGGGGUCGUCGCGUGCACGGGGCUUGAGGAGCUCACCCUCGCCUUCAACUCCUUCUCCGGCGCCGUGCCGGACCUCUCGCCGCUGACCAGUCUCCGCAGGCUCAACGUCUCGACUAACAGCUUCUCCGGUGCGUUCCCUUGGACCGCGCUGCCCGCCAUGCCAGGCCUCACCGUGCUCGCCGCGGGAGACAACCCGUUCCUCGAGCCGACCAGUUCUUUCCCCGCCGAGGUCACCGAGCUCACCAACCUCACCGUGCUCUACCUCUCUGCCGCCAACAUCGUCGGCGCCAUCCCGCGGGGUAUCGGGAACCUAGUCAAGCUCGUGGACCUCGAGCUCGCAGACAACAACCUCACGGGCGAGAUACCCCCGGAGAUCGCCAAUCUCGUUAACCUCCGGGGCCUCGAAAUGUACAACUGCUCCCUUACCGGAGCUCUCCCGCGGGGGUUCGGAAAGCUGACGAAGCUACAGUCCUUCGACGCGUCACAGAACAUGCUAACCGGCGGCCUCUCCGAGCUCCGGUUCCUCACGCGGCUCGUGUCGCUUCAGCUGUUCUACAACGGCUUCUCCAGCGAGGUGCCCCUCGAAUUCGGAGACUUCAAGGAGCUCAUCAACCUGUCACUCUACGACAACAGCCUCACAGGCGAGCUGCCGCAGAGCCUCGGGAGCUGGUCGGAGCUGUCCUUCAUCGAUGUGAGCACGAACUCGCUGACGGGUCCGAUCCCGCUGGACAUGUGCAAGCGCGGCAGGGUUGCUGAAGCUGCUGAUGCUUGA
rnacentral:rRNA from 1 species